rnacentral:rRNA from 1 species
GACGUAGGGGGCAAGCGUUGUCCGGAAUCAUUGGGCGUAAAGCGCGUGUAGGCGGCCCGAUAAGUCCGCUGUGAAAGUCCAGGGCUCAACCCUGGGAUGCCGGUGGAUACUGUCGGGCUAGAGUCCGGAAGAGGCGAGUGGAAUUCCUGGUGUAGCGGUGAAAUGACGCAGAUAGUCAGGAGGAACACCUAUUGCGAAGGCAGCUCGCUGGGACGUAACUGACGCUGAGACGCGAAAGCGUGGGGAGCAAACAGG